ensembl:lncRNA
CUACACACGGCAAACAAAUGCAUUUCCAUUGUAAUGACAUCACUGUUGAGCUGCAAGAGAUGAACAUCAAAUUCUGAGACUUACUGCAGGUGCUACAGAAACGACGAAUAAGAAACUUUAUGUCAAGACCAUGGAUGUUCAAAAUCACGUAUACCGAUGUUAUGAAAGAGGCAUUCAUGCUGUGUGGAGAUCAUGUUUGUCCUUACUUGAAGAACCAUUAUACUACAGUAGGGUCACUUCACCCGAAUAUUUGGUUGGGAGAUUUCAAACAAACUUGUACUCUUUAUUCAUGCUCGUCGUAAAUUUAUGGAAACAAAUGGAGCUGGAAGUUUAUAGCAAACCUGGCAAAAGUGAGCAGUGGUGUAG